rnacentral:rRNA from 1 species
UACGUAGGGGGCAAGCGUUGUCCGGAAUCAUUGGGCGUAAAGCGCGUGUAGGCGGCUCGGUAAGUCCGCUCUGAAAGUCCAGGGCUUAACCCUGGGAUGCGGGUGGAUACUGUCGGGCUCGAGUCCGGAAGAGGCGAGUGGAAUUCCUGGUGUAGCGGUGAAAUGCGCAGAUAUCAGGAGGAACACCAAUGGCGAAGGCAGCUCGCUGGGACGUGACUGACGCUGAGACGCGAAAGCGUGGGUAGCAAACAGG